AGCCCUGAGGUGUAUAACAUAUGAGAUUGCAAAUCUUAAGAUGCGAACCAACGUUUGGCUGGGGCUU
rnacentral:tRNA from 1 species